rnacentral:rRNA from 1 species
GGCGGCAGGCCUAACACAUGCAAGUCGAGCGGUAGAGAGAAGCUUGCUUCUCUUGAGAGCGGCGGACGGGUGAGUAAUGCCUAGGAAUCUGCCUGGUAGUGGGGGAUAACGUUCGGAAACGGACGCUAAUACCGCAUACGUCCUACGGGAGAAAGCAGGGGACCUUCGGGCCUUGCGCUAUCAGAUGAGCCUAGGUCGGAUUAGCUAGUUGGUGGGGUAAUGGCUCACCAAGGCGACGAUCCGUAACUGGUCUGAGAGGAUGAUCAGUCACACUGGAACUGAGACACGGUCCAGACUCCUACGGGAGGCAGCAGUGGGGAAUAUUGGACAAUGGGCGAAAGCCUGAUCCAGCCAUGCCGCGUGUGUGAAGAAGGUCUUCGGAUUGUAAAGCACUUUAAGUUGGGAGGAAGGGCAGUAAAUUAAUACUUUGCUGUUUUGACGUUACCGACAGAAUAAGCACCGGCUAACUCUGUGCCAGCAGCCGCGGUAAUACAGA